rnacentral:lncRNA from 1 species
CGGUGACCUAUAUUUUUUAUCAUUGUUUUCAGAUAAGAUGUACAUAAACUAAAUAAUUGUAAACUUUAAGCGAUUUCUGUAAUUAGAUCAUUUAUUUAUUUCGAUAUUACCUCUAUUUCUCCUAUUAGUUCAACAGAAAAAAAGGACAUUAACAAAAAUGUAUGCUUCUUCCGGAGGCAGAUUGGGAGCUUAAAUGAACGGUGAUCCCAUUUUUUUAUUUCAUUUUUCUUUUAAGUAUAUGAUAAAGUUCAUUUAUAAAAAAAAUAUAGCGAAAUCCUAUAUCAGAAAAAAAAAAAUUGAUUUAUACCCAGGAGCCCCCUUAAU